rnacentral:rRNA from 1 species
GGUGUAGCGGUGAAAUGCGUAGAGAUCUGGAGGAAUACCGAUGGCGAAGGCAGCCCUCUGGCAUCAUACUGACACUGAGGUUCGAAAGCGUGGGUAGCAAACAGGAUUAGAUACCCUGGUAGUGCACGCCGUAAACGAUGUCUACUAGUCGUUGGGUCCCCUGAGGACUUAGUGACGCAGCUAACGCAAUAAGUAGACCGCCUGGGGAGUACGGCCGCAAGGUUAAAACUCAAAUGAAUUGACGGGGGCCCGCACAAGCGGUGGAGCAUGUGGUUUAAUUCGAUGCAACGCGAAGAACCUUACCUGGUCUUGACAUAUCUAGAAUCCUGCAGAGAUGCGGGAGUGCCUUCGGGAAUUAGAAUACAGGUGCUGCAUGGCUGUCGUCAGCUCGUGUCGUGAGAUGUUGGGUUAAGUCCCGCAACGAGCGCAACCCUUGUCCUUAGUUUCCAGCGGUUUGGCCGGGAACUCUAAGGAUACUGCCAGUGACAAACUGGAGGAAGGCGGGGACGACGUCAAGUCAUCAUGGCCCUUACGGCCAGGGCUACCCCCGUGCUACAAUGGUAGGUACAGAGGGCAGCUACACAGCGAUGUGAUGCGAAUCUCAAAAAGCCUAUUGUAGUCCAGAUUGGAGUUUGCAACUUGACUCCAUGAAGUUGGAAUCGCUAGUAAUCGCGGAUCAGAAUGCCGCGGUGAAUACGUUCCCGGGCCUUGUACACACCGCCCGUCACACCAUGGGAGUUGAUUGCACCAGAAGUGGGUAGCCUAACCUUGUAGCAGGUAGAAUG